rnacentral:lncRNA from 1 species
AUGUCCCCUCUCCUCUAUUCUGUUAUCCUCUCAUCCCUUGUCCCUUCUCCUCUAUUCUCUUAUCCUCUCCUUCCUGUCCCCUCUAUUACCUUAUCCUCUCCUCCCUUGUCCCCUCUCCUCUAUUCUCUUAUCCUUUCCUUCCGGUCCCCUCUCCUCUAUUCUCUUAUCCUCUCCUUCCUGUCCCCUCUCCUCUAUUCUCUUAUCCUCUCCUCCCUUGUCCCCUCUCCUCUAUUCUCUUAUCCUCUCCUCCCUUGUCCCCUCUCCUCUAUUCUCUUAUCCUUUCCUCCCUUGUCCCCUCUCCUCUAUUCUCUUAUCCUCUCCUCCCUUGUCCUCUCCUCUAUUCUCUUAUCCUCUCCUCCCUUGUCCCUUCUCCUCUAUUCUCUUAUCCUCUCCUCCCUUGUCCUCUCCUCUAUUCUUUAUCCUCUCCUCCCUUGUCCCUUCUCCUCUAUUCUCUUAUCCUCUCCUUCCGGUCCCUCUCCUCUAUGCUCUUAUCCUCUCCUUCCGGUCCCCUCUCCUCUAUUCUCUUAUCCUCUCCUUCCUGUCCCCUCUCCUCUAUUCUCUAUCCUCUCCUCCCUUGUCCCAUCUCCUCUAUUCUCUUAUCCUCUCCUCCCUUGUCCCCUCUCCUCUAUUCUCUUAUCCUCUCCUCCCUUGUCCCCUCUCCUCUAUUCUCUUAUCCUCUCCUUCCUGUCCCCUCUCCUCUAUUCUCUUAUCCUCUCCUCCCUUGUCCCCUCUCCUCUAUUCUCUUAUCCGCUCCUCCCUUGUCCCCUCUCCUCUAUUCUCUUAUCCUCUCCUCCCUUGUCCCCUCUCCUCUAUUCUCUUAUCCUCUCCUCCCUUGUCCCCUCUCCUCUAUUCUCUUAUCCCCUCCUCCCUUGUCCCCUCUCCUCUAUUCUCUUAUCCUCUCCUCCCUUGUCCCUCUCCUCUAUUCUCUUAUCCUCUCCCUCCCUUGUCCUCUCCUCUAUUCUCUUAUCCUCUCCUCCCUUGUCCCCUCUCCUCUAUUCUCUUAUCCUCUCCUCCCCUUGUCCCCUCUCCUCUAUUCUCUUAUCCUCUCCUCCCUUGUCCUCUCCUCUAUUCUCUUAUCCUCUCCUCCCUUGUCCAUUCUCCUCUUCCCCUCUCCUCUAUUCUCUUAUCCUCUCCUCCCUUGUCCUCUCCUCUAUUCUCUUAUCCUCUCCUCCCUUGUCCUCUCCUCUAUUCUUUUAUCCUCUCCUCCCUUGUCCUCUCCUCUUCUUUAUCCUCUCCUCCCUUGUCCUCUCCUCUAUUCUCUUAUCCUCUCCUCCCUUGUCCUCUCCUCUAUUCUGUUAUCCUCUCCUCCCUUGUCCCCUCUCCUCUAUUCUCUUAUCCUCUCCUCCCUUGUCCCCUCUCCUCUAUUCUCUUAUCCUCUCCUCCCUUGUCCCUUCUCCUCUAUUCUCUUAUCCUCUCUUCCCUUGUCCACUCCUCUUAUUUUAUCCUCCCUUGUCCACUCCUCCCCUCUCUCUGAGCUGUAGCAGUAUGCUAGACAAAGUCAGGUCAGAUAAGAGGGGUUGA